rnacentral:rRNA from 1 species
UUGACCUCAAAUCAGGUAGGGAUACCCGCUGAACUUAAGCA